GGUUAAGCGACUAAGCGUACACGGUGGAUGCCCUGGCAGUCAGAGGCGAUGAAGGACGUGCUAAUCUGCGAUAAGCGUCGGUAAGGUGAUAUGAACCGUUAUAACCGGCGAUUUCCGAAUGGGGAAACCCAGUGUGAUUCGUCACACUAUCAUUAACUGAAUCCAUAGGUUAAUGAGGCGAACCGGGGGAACUGAAACAUCUAAGUACCCCGAGGAAAAGAAAUCAACCGAGAUUCCCCCAGUAGCGGCGAGCGAACGGGGAGGAGCCCAGAGCCUGAAUCAGUGUGUGUGUUAGUGGAAGCGUCUGGAAAGGCGCGCGAUACAGGGUGACAGCCCCGUACACAAAAAUGCACAUGCUGUGAGCUCGAUGAGUAGGGCGGGACACGUGGUAUCCUGUCUGAAUAUGGGGGGACCAUCCUCCAAGGCUAAAUACUCCUGACUGACCGAUAGUGAACCAGUACCGUGAGGGAAAGGCGAAAAGAACCCCGGCGAGGGGAGUGAAAAAGAACCUGAAACCGUGUACGUACAAGCAGUGGGAGCACGCUUAGGCGUGUGACUGCGUACCUUUUGUAUAAUGGGUCAGCGACUUAUAUUCUGUAGCAAGGUUAACCGAAUAGGGGAGCCGAAGGGAAACCGAGUCUUAACUGGGCGUUAAGUUGCAGGGUAUAGACCCGAAACCCGGUGAUCUAGCCAUGGGCAGGUUGAAGGUUGGGUAACACUAACUGGAGGACCGAACCGACUAAUGUUGAAAAAUUAGCGGAUGACUUGUGGCUGGGGGUGAAAGGCCAAUCAAACCGGGAGAUAGCUGGUUCUCCCCGAAAGCUAUUUAGGUAGCGCCUCGUGAAUUCAUCUCCGGGGGUAGAGCACUGUUUCGGCAAGGGGGUCAUCCCGACUUACCAACCCGAUGCAAACUGCGAAUACCGGAGAAUGUUAUCACGGGAGACACACGGCGGGUGCUAACGUCCGUCGUGAAGAGGGAAACAACCCAGACCGCCAGCUAAGGUCCCAAAGUCAUGGUUAAGUGGGAAACGAUGUGGGAAGGCCCAGACAGCCAGGAUGUUGGCUUAGAAGCAGCCAUCAUUUAAAGAAAGCGUAAUAGCUCACUGGUCGAGUCGGCCUGCGCGGAAGAUGUAACGGGGCUAAACCAUGCACCGAAGCUGCGGCAGCGACACUGUGUGUUGUUGGGUAGGGGAGCGUUCUGUAAGCCUGCGAAGGUGUGCUGUGAGGCAUGCUGGAGGUAUCAGAAGUGCGAAUGCUGACAUAAGUAACGAUAAAGCGGGUGAAAAGCCCGCUCGCCGGAAGACCAAGGGUUCCUGUCCAACGUUAAUCGGGGCAGGGUGAGUCGACCCCUAAGGCGAGGCCGAAAGGCGUAGUCGAUGGGAAACAGGUUAAUAUUCCUGUACUUGGUGUUACUGCGAAGGGGGGACGGAGAAGGCUAUGUUGGCCGGGCGACGGUUGUCCCGGUUUAAGCGUGUAGGCUGGUUUUCCAGGCAAAUCCGGAAAAUCAAGGCUGAGGCGUGAUGACGAGGCACUACGGUGCUGAAGCAACAAAUGCCCUGCUUCCAGGAAAAGCCUCUAAGCAUCAGGUAACAUCAAAUCGUACCCCAAACCGACACAGGUGGUCAGGUAGAGAAUACCAAGGCGCUUGAGAGAACUCGGGUGAAGGAACUAGGCAAAAUGGUGCCGUAACUUCGGGAGAAGGCACGCUGAUACGUAGGUGAAGUCCCUCGCGGAUGGAGCUGAAAUCAGUCGAAGAUACCAGCUGGCUGCAACUGUUUAUUAAAAACACAGCACUGUGCAAACACGAAAGUGGACGUAUACGGUGUGACGCCUGCCCGGUGCCGGAAGGUUAAUUGAUGGGGUCAGCGCAAGCGAAGCUCUUGAUCGAAGCCCCGGUAAACGGCGGCCGUAACUAUAACGGUCCUAAGGUAGCGAAAUUCCUUGUCGGGUAAGUUCCGACCUGCACGAAUGGCGUAAUGAUGGCCAGGCUGUCUCCACCCGAGACUCAGUGAAAUUGAACUCGCUGUGAAGAUGCAGUGUACCCGCGGCAAGACGGAAAGACCCCGUGAACCUUUACUAUAGCUUGACACUGAACAUUGAGCCUUGAUGUGUAGGAUAGGUGGGAGGCUUUGAAGUGUGGACGCCAGUCUGCAUGGAGCCGACCUUGAAAUACCACCCUUUAAUGUUUGAUGUUCUAACGUUGACCCGUGAUCCGGGUUGCGGACAGUGUCUGGUGGGUAGUUUGACUGGGGCGGUCUCCUCCUAAAGAGUAACGGAGGAGCACGAAGGUUGGCUAAUCCUGGUCGGACAUCAGGAGGUUAGUGCAAUGGCAUAAGCCAGCUUGACUGCGAGCGUGACGGCGCGAGCAGGUGCGAAAGCAGGUCAUAGUGAUCCGGUGGUUCUGAAUGGAAGGGCCAUCGCUCAACGGAUAAAAGGUACUCCGGGGAUAACAGGCUGAUACCGCCCAAGAGUUCAUAUCGACGGCGGUGUUUGGCACCUCGAUGUCGGCUCAUCACAUCCUGGGGCUGAAGUAGGUCCCAAGGGUAUGGCUGUUCGCCAUUUAAAGUGGUACGCGAGCUGGGUUUAGAACGUCGUGAGACAGUUCGGUCCCUAUCUGCCGUGGGCGCUGGAGAACUGAGGGGGGCUGCUCCUAGUACGAGAGGACCGGAGUGGACGCAUCACUGGUGUUCGGGUUGUCAUGCCAAUGGCACUGCCCGGUAGCUAAAUGCGGAAGAGAUAAGUGCUGAAAGCAUCUAAGCACGAAACUUGCCCCGAGAUGAGUUCUCCCUGACCCUUUAAGGGUCCUGAAGGAACGUUGAAGACGACGACGUUGAUAGGCCGGGUGUGUAAGCGCAGCGAUGCGUUGAGCUAACCGGUACUAAUGAACCGUGAGGCUUAACCUU
rnacentral:rRNA from 1 species